AUGCUAGAUGGAAAAGUACCCCAAAUGAAAAUUGUAAUUCCGAGUCUUGGUAUCCUUCCUGAUGAAAAUAGCUUAAAGGCAAAUAUGGAAGAUACCCGGAAUAGAGAUGAAGAUGGCACUAACAAUAUGGAUAACAGAAAGGUGUCUCUGGCAAAAGGAGAGAAAAAGAGAAUGCCUGCUAUGGAAACAGAAGAGAAUGAUAAUGCAAGUAGUGAAAACGCAGAGGAAGGUUCUACUUACUCCCUGAGUCAUAGCUUAAAAUCAAGUAUUUUGGGUGAGAUUUCUAAUACUCUUCCUAAAAUAAGAGCUGUUUCUACAAGUGAUGAAAAUGCAGUUUUUGUAACAGAAAGGAAACUUGAAAAAUACUCUGGAUUUAAUGAUGAUGUUCCCAGGGACUGCCUUAUCAACAAUAAUAAUAUGGGAGAAACAGAAAUUGAAAGUCUUUUUGCAAAUGCUCAGCAAUCUUGUGGCAUGCUGGAAAGGAAUCUUGAUGAAGAACUAAAACAAGAUAUGGAAAGAUUUAAGAGUAAGGUUGAGAAGGAAAAAAGCAAACAAAGAUGUUUGAAAAUGCAGAAGGUGGCAAAACAGGAAGAUGUUGCUGAAUUAAGUACACUGCCAGGCAACAUUACUAAUAAGGAAAUGAAAGAAAAGCUUACUCUAAGAAAGAAUGACUGUCUGAAAAUGGAGAAUGAAAACAGUACAGAAGAAAAGGACAAAAAGAAUUUUUCACCUGAGGAGAGGUCAAAAUUGAUUAAAAUGCCACUGAAAGGUGAAUUUGCCCUGAAUCCCAAAGUUGCAAAGAAGAAUAAAAGACAGACUUUGAAGCAGACAGCUAAUCAGCAGAUGAGCUCUUCCAGUGGGAAUCAUUUUCAAACACUGGAUGAUAGCACUUUCAGUGAAACAUCUCAAGAUGAAGAAAGACCUGCAGCAAAAACAGGAAGUGAAAAGAACAAGGUACUGUAAAUUAGUUUCUUAAUAAAUAGUUUUACCAGCUUUUAAUCA
rnacentral:lncRNA from 1 species